CGGACCGAUCCUACAUGAAAAUAUUUUCAUACGUCAGGCUCUGACUGAUAUGGUUGUUUUUACAGUCAUUGGAUGGAAAUGCCAAGUACGAAAGGUCGAUAUUUCCAAUGAUUUCCAGCUGUCAUCGAAAGUGAAGCUGGCGAAUUGAUGAGCCGAGAUGGAAUUUCUCAUCACUGGCUGUUUAAAUGUCAUAUCCAGCAGAGUUUUGUGAACAGCAGAGCCUCCAUGCGUGCAGCUAAAGAUAAGGAUUAUCAGCACUGGGAGUGAUGACGCUAUUAUAUUCUGUAUACAACCAUCGUGCUCUCUCGGUCUGGACAGUUUAUCCCACAGUAUCUUGAAAAUAAUAAAGAAAUCAGCACUCUCGUCUAAUGUCCAGAAGAUGCCUCAUUAGUUUAGU
rnacentral:lncRNA from 1 species